AUACUUACCUGGCAUGGGAGAAACCACUAUCAUGAAGGUAGUUUUUCCAGGGUGAGGCUUAUUCACUGCUCUCUGGAUGUGUUGAGCCCUGCAAUUUCCCCAAAUGUGGGAAACUUGACUGCAGAAUUUGGGUCAUGGGGGAUUGCAUUCACACUCUCCAC